CCUACGGGAGGCAGCAGUAAGGGAUAUUGGUCAAUGGGGGAAACCCUGAACCAGCAACGCCGCGUGAGGGAAGACGGUUUUCGGAUUGUAAACCUCUGUCCUCUGUGAAGAUGAUGACGGUAGCAGAGGAGGAAGCUCCGGCUAACUACGUGCCAGCAGCCGCGGUAAUACGUAGGGAGCGAGCGUUGUCCGGAAUUACUGGGUGUAAAGGGAGCGCAGGCGGGAAGCCAAGUCAGCUGUGAAAACUACGGGCUUAACUUGUAGACUGCAGUUGAAACUGGUUUUCUUGAGUGAAGUAGAGGUUGGCGGAAUUCCGAGUGUAGCGGUGAAAUGCGUAGAUAUUCGGAGGAACACCGGUGGCGAAGGCGGCCAACUGGGCUUUAACUGACGCUGAGGCUCGAAAGUGUGGGGAGCAAACAGGAUUAGAUACCCUAGUAGUC
rnacentral:rRNA from 1 species